rnacentral:rRNA from 1 species
CCCUUAGAUGUUCUGGGCCGCACGCGCGCUACACUGACGAAUGCAACGAGCUUAUAACCUUGGCCGAAAGGUCUGGGUAAUCUCCAAAUUUCGUCGUGAUGGGGAUAGAUUAUUGCAAUUAUUAAUCUUCAACGAGGAAUGCCUAGUAAGCGCAAGUCAUCAGCUUGCGUUGAUUACGUCCCUGCCCUUUGUACACACCGCCCGUCGCUCCUACCGAUUGAAUGGUCCGGUGAAGCGUUCGGACCGUGGCCUUUGGACGGUUCGCCGUCUGUUGGCUGCGGGAAGUUCGUUAAACCUAUCAUUUAGAGGAAGGAGAAGUCGUAACA